AACGAACGCUGGCGGCAUGCCUAACACAUGCAAGUCGAACGAUGCCUCCGGGCAUAGUGGCGCACGGGUGCGUAACGCGUGGGAAUCUGCCCUUGGGUUCGGAAUAACUCGCCGAAAGGCGAGCUAAUACCGGAUGAUGACGUAAGUCCAAAGAUUUAUCGCCCAAGGAUGAGCCCGCGUAGGAUUAGCUAGUUGGUGGGGUAAAGGCCCGCCAAGGCGACGAUCCUUAGCUGGUCUGAGAAGAUGAUCAGCCACACUGGGACUGAGACACGGCCCAGACUCCUACGGGAGGCAGCAGUGGGGAAUAUUGGACAAUGGGCGAAAGCCUGAUCCAGCAAUGCCGCGUGAGUGAUGAAGGCCUUAGGGUUGUAAAGCUCUUUUACCCGGGAUGAUAAUGACAGUACCGGGAGAAUAAGCUCCGGCUAACUCCGUG
rnacentral:rRNA from 1 species